UACGAAGGUGGCAAGCGUUACUCGGAAUUACUAGGCGUAAAGGGCAGGUAGGCGGUUUGAUAAGUCUGUUGUGGAAGCUCCCGGCUUAACUGGGAGAGGUCAACGGAAACUAUCAGGCUUGAGUGUAGGAGAGGGUACUGGAAUUCCCGGUGUAGCGGUGAAAUGCGUAGAUAUCGGAAGGAACAUCAGUGGCGAAAGCGGCUUCCUGGACCAGCACCGACGUUCAGGCACGAAAGCGUGGGGAGCAAACAGG
rnacentral:rRNA from 1 species